rnacentral:rRNA from 1 species
CUUGGCUUCCGAGAUAACUCCAACCCAUGUGACCAUACCAAACUGUUGCCUCGGCGGGGUCACGCCCCGGGUGCGUCGCAGCCCCGGAACCAGGCGCCCGCCGGAGGGACCAACCAAACUCUUUUCUGUAGUCCCCUCGCGGACGUUAUUUCUUACAGCUCUGAGCAAAAAUUCAAAAUGAAUCAAAACUUUCAACAACGGAUCUCUUGGUUCUGGCAUCGAUGAAGAACGCAGCGAAAUGCGAUAAGUAAUGUGAAUUGCAGAAUUCAGUGAAUCAUCGAAUCUUUGAACGCACAUUGCGCCCGCCAGUAUUCUGGCGGGCAUGCCUGUCCGAGCGUCAUUUCAACCCUCGAACCCCUCCGGGGGGUCGGCGUUGGGGACCUCGGGAGCCCCUAAGACGGGAUCCCGGCCCCGAAAUACAGUGGCGGUCUCGCCGCAGCCUCUCCUGCGCAGUAGUUUGCACAACUCGCACCGGGAGCGCGGCGCGUCCACGUCCGUAAAACACCCAACUUUCUGAAAUGUUGACCUCGGAUCAGGUAGGAAUACCCGCUGAACUUAAGCAUAUCAAUAAGCGGAGGAA